GAGGGAUGUAGAGAUGGAGGGAUGGAUGGAUACAGGGUUGGAUGGAGGGAGGGAUGGAGAGAUGGAUGGAGGGUUGUAUGGAGCAAUGGACGCAGGGUUGGAUGGAGGGAUGGAUGGACAGAGGGCUGGAUGGACAGAGGGAUGGAGGGAGGGAUGGAUGGAUGGAGGGAUGGAGGGAGGGAUGGAUGCAGGGUUGGAUGGACAGAUGGAUGGAUGGACAGAGGGAUGGAGGGAUGAAUGGAUGGACGGAGGGAUGGAGGAAUGGACUGAGGGAUGGAUGCAGGGAUGGAUGCAGGGAUGGAGGGAUGGACAGAGGGGUGGACAGAGGCAUGGACAGAGGGAUGGAUGGAGGGAUGGAUGGACAGAGGGAUGGAUGGACGGAGAGAUGGACGGAGGGAUGUAGAGAUGGAGGGAUGGAUGGAUACAGGGUUAGAGGGAGGGAUGGAGCGAUGGACGCAGGGUUGGAUGGAGGGAUGGACGGACAGAGGGAUGGAUGGACAGAAGGAUGGAUGGACAGAGGGAUGGAGGGAGGGAUGGAUGCAGGGUUGGAUGGAUGGACGGAUGGACGGAGGGAUGGAGGGACGGACGGAGGGAAGGAGGGACGGCCGGGUCCGUAUGCCGGCAGCGCGCUGACCCCUCUCCCCGGCAGCAGAGCUGCUCCUGCCCGAGGACCUCUGCCACGGCGCCCCCGAGCCGCUCAACGGGCCCUGGGACACCAUCGCCGUCUUCAUCACCCUCUUCCUCCUCAGCGUCUGCUACAGCGCCACCGUCACCCUCUGCAAGGUCAAGUGGCUGCUGACCACCGUGGUGCAGCUGAAGCAGGGCCCGGUGCUCGGCGCCAAGAGCGGCCUCCAGCCCAUCAUGUAGCCGCCGCCGCCACCGCCGCCGCCGUGUCCCCAGCGAGGCCACCACCAGCACCGCCACCACCAGCACCACCGCCACCAGCACGCCAGGAGGACGGGGCGAGAGGGGACGGACGCAAGGGAAGGAGAAGGGGUGGAUGGGUGCGAGGAUGCGUGGGGAGAUGGAGGGAUGGGUGCAAGGAUGGGUGCAAGGAUGCAUGGGAAGAAGGGAUGGAUGGAUGGAUGGAAAGGACAGAUGGAUGGUUGCACACGUGGGAAGGACGGAUGGAUGGUUGCACAGAGAGGAGGACGGAUGGAUGGUUGCACACGUGGGAAGGACGGAUGGAUGGUUGCAUGGAGAGGAGGAUGGAUGGAUGGUUGCACACAUAGGAAGGACGGAUGGAUGGUUGCACGGAGAGGAGGACGGAUGGAUGGUUGCACACAUAGGAAGGACGGAUGGAUGGUUGCACGGAGAGGAGGACGGAUGGAUGGUUGCACGCAUGGGAAGGACGGAUGGAUGGUUGCACGGAGAGGAGGACGGAUGGAUGGUUGCACGCAUGGGAAGGACGGAUGGAUGGUUGCACGGAGAGGAGGACGGAUGGAUGGUUGCACGCAUGGGAAGGACGGAUGGAUGGUUGCACGGAGAGGAGGACGGAUGGAUGGUUGCACGCAUGGGAAGGACGGAUGGAUGGUUGCACGGAGAGGAGGACRGAUGGAUGGUUGCACAGAGAGGAUGAUGGAUGGAUGGUUGCACACAUAGGAAGGACGGAUGGAUGGUUGCACACGUGGAAAGGACGGAUGGAUGGUUGCACGGAGAGGAGGAUGGAUGGAUGGUUGCACACAUAAGAAGGACGGAUGGAUGGUUGCACGGAGAGGAGGACGGAUGGAUGGUUGCACGCACGGACAGAAAGAGCCCCGGGACGGACGGACAGACGCCUGGCGGAGCAGAGCCCAGCCCCCCCCCCCUCCCAGUGGCUCGCUGGGGCCCUGCGGAGGUGGAAGCAGAUGUUUCCUCAGCCCGCGGCUCCCACGGCUCCCCGGGGACAAAGCCGGCCCCUGUCACGAGUUGGCCCGGCCCCGGGGACGGGCGCACGGGUGGGGGGGGGGGAGGGCUCAUCGUGGGGUGGGGGAGGGAUGGAGGUGGACGCCAGGUCACACGGGGACCCGUCACCCAAGGUGGACACCGGGUCACCCGAGGUGGACCUUGGUCACCAAGUCAACGCAGGUGGACGUUAGGUCAAACCAGGCGGACCUCGGGCACCAGGUCACCUAAAGGAGACACUGGCCACCAGAUCAGCCCCCAGAUGGACCGUGGCCACCAGGUCAAACCAGGGGGGGGGACGUUGGUCACCAGGUCCCCCAAGGUGGACACUGGCCACCGGGUCACCCA
rnacentral:lncRNA from 1 species